GGGUCGUUAGCUCAGUUGGUAGAGCAUCUGGCUUUUAACCAGUUGGUCGCAGGUUCGAUCCCUGCACGACCCA
rnacentral:tRNA from 1 species